CCCCUAGAUGUUCUGGGCCGCACGCGCGCUACACUGAACAGUUCAACAAGUCUUAACCUUGGCCGAUAGGUCUGGGUAAUCUUUGAACGCUGUUCGUGAUUGGGAUAGACCUUUGCAAUUAUGGGUCUUCAACGAGGAAUUCCUAGUAAACGCAAGUCAUCAGCUUGCAUUGAUUACGUCCCUGCCCUUUGUACACACCGCCCGUCGCACCUACCGAUUGAAUGGUCCGGUGAAAUGUUCGGACCGCGACAAGGCGGACGGUUCGCUGUCAGCUUUGCUGCGGGAAGUUCAUUAAACCUUAUCAUUUAGAGGAAGGAGAAGUCGUAACA
rnacentral:rRNA from 1 species